AUUGAACGCUGGCGGCAGGCUUAACACAUGCAAGUCGAGCGGAGAGAGGUAGCUUGCUACUGAUCUUAGCGGCGGACGGGUGAGUAAUGCUUAGGAAUCUGCCUAUUAGUGGGGGACAACAUUUCGAAAGGAAUGCUAAUACCGCAUACGUCCUACGGGAGAAAGCAGGGGAUCUUCGGUCCUUGCGCUAAUAGAUGAGCCUAAGUCGGAUUAGCUAGUUGGUGGGGUAAAGGCCUACCAAGGCGACGAUCUGUAGCGGGUCUGAGAGGAUGGUCCGCCACACUGGGACUGAGACACGGCCCAGACUCCUACGGGAGGCGGCAGUGGGGAAUAUUGGACAAUGGGCGCAAGCCUGAUCCAGCCAUGCCGCGUGUGUGAAGAAGGCCUUAUGGUUGUAAAGCACUUUAAGCGAGGAGGAGGCUACUUUAGUUAAUACCUAGAGAUAGUGGACGUUACUCGCAGAAUAAGCACCGGCUAACUCUGUGCCAGCCGCCGCCGUAA
rnacentral:rRNA from 1 species